CGUAGGUGUGGUCGACCGGGGUGACGGCCCGCAAGUGUUGCCUGCGGUGGAGAUCCGUCCGGAAUCCGGUGUCUACGAC
rnacentral:tRNA from 1 species